rnacentral:tRNA from 1 species
GCCGGUGUAGUUCAAUGGUAGAACGAGAGACUCAUAAGCUCUAGAAAAUGGUUCAAUUCCAUUCACCGGCA